AGUGCUUUGGAAAGAGGGCUGAACCUCACACACAUAAUCAGCGCAGCUUCUCAAUGGGGGGACGGAGCCAAGAGGAGACAGAACUGUCGUUCCGCUGGAGCUGAUCUCAGUCUGUGUGUGAGAAGUGAGGAGGCAAAUUAACGUUCUGCCGUCACGAGAGGGAUUUUACCUUCACAGUACUGAUCUAAAGGUGAUAUGAGCAGCCUUCCAUCUUGUAAACACUGACUAGUUUGUAACAGCGUGUCAUUCCUGUGAGCUGAGGUGGUUUCUGGUGACCGCAUUCCCAGGAUUUCAGACGGACAGAGAGAGUCGAGGGGGGCAAGCGGACGAGGCAGAAACAACAGAGCUUCUCCCCCUCUUAUCCUGCAGCGUUGUUCUUCUUUACACCUGGAACUUUGUUGGGAAUCCCUGGCGUUCAGACUAUGGAUGGAUUUAAGACAGCAUUGUGAGUCUGUUGAACAGACGGUGAUACUGACAGCAGGGCACCCUUUCUUUUGACCAGACAGACCACUCAGCCACCCUCCCAGUCUGCCCUGCCAUGUCCUUGUUCCUGGGCCUGUGGAUUAGCCUUGGCUUCCUGCUGCUGUGCCAGGCCACGCUGUACGAGACCCUCCAGCAGCACCACGUGCCCCGGCCCGGACGCAAUGCCAUCCAGAUCCUGGAAGGAGGGACGUGUGAGGUGAUCGCAGCCCACCGGUGCUGUAAUAAGAACCGUAUCGAGGAGCGCUCCCAGACCGUCAAGUGCUCCUGUCUACCGGGGAAAGUGGCCGGGACGACACGCAACAAACCCUCUUGUGUGGACGCAUCCAUUGUGAUUGGGAAGUGGUGGUGUGAGAUGGAGCCCUGUCUGGAGGGAGAGGAGUGUAAGACUCUGCCUGAUAACUCUGGAUGGAUGUGCUCCUCUGGGAACAAGAUCAAGACCACAAGGAACACUGCGCCAUACUCACCUUUUUAGCUCUGGAAGCAAAAUGCAGAGGAUGCUUCAACAGAAACUGAGCUGCAUUCUUGCUUCUGUAAAGAGAGGGAGCCCUGCUUGCCUGUUCUGUAUCAGCAUCAGACAAGGCAGGCCUUUUGUAUGAGGAAGGGAAGUGGGGAGAGACCCCACCAAAACACAAGCCCAGCAUAGAGCCACAUUACCUGCUCCACUGGCUAAAUAGAUCAAUCCAUUUCUGCUCCCACCAUACAAUUAUGUUGUUGACAAUUACAAGUAAAAAGGAGAGAGCAAAAGAAAGUGAAAUGAGAAUUCUCAUCAUUCUGCCUACCUGCCCCUUUUGUUAAAAUUAUCUAGUUAUUUGAAGCCUUCAAUAUUAUCAAGAAUCCCUACCAGACCAGAUAGUUAUAAGUCCAUUAGCCCAGGACUUUGGGAGUUUCCUAGCUGUUGCCUCAGUAUUCAGAUUCAGUAUUUACAUUGCUGUUUCAAGAGCCACAUGUUGUCUAUUAGAAGUAACAGAAGGCACCUUUUCGAGCCAGUCACAACAGCAGGAUAUAUCCCAUCUGGGAGGCUUGAUCAGAGCAAAGUUACCUGCCAGCAGAUGCAUCACCAUCAAAUGUGUUGAAUGGGAAGGGAAAUCAUAAAACAAUCAAUCGGAAAACACUCCACACAAGAAAUGAUCAUCACCAAGCACUCAUGUUUUCCACGUCCCAUAUUUGUUUGGUAACACUUUACAUGAACUAUCCAUCCACAUGGUUCAUGUAAUGUGAACGGUACUACUUUCUUCUACUCUUUUUGUUCUCUACCCAUUGUCAAUGUCACAUUAAAUUGAUCUUGAUAUAUGUU